rnacentral:rRNA from 1 species
GUCCACGCUAUAAACGAUGAGAGCUGGGUGUUGGUGGGAUUUCCCAUCAGUGCCGAAGCCAACGCGUUAAGCUCUCCGCCUGGGGACUACGAACGCAAGUUUAAACUCAAAGGAAUUGACGGGGCCCGCACAAGCAGCGGAGCGUGUGGUUCAAUUCGAUGCAACACGAAGAACCUUACCAGGGUUUGACAUGCAAGUGGUAGGGAAGGGAAACCGGACCGACCCGCAAGGGAGCUUGCACAGGUGCUGCAUGGCUGUCGU